CCCUUAGAUGUUCCGGGCCGCACGCGCGCUACACUGAUUCAUGCAACAAGUUUUGUCCUUGGCUGAUAGGCCUGGGUAAUCUUUGAACGUGAAUCGUGAUGGGGAUAGAUGAUUGCAAUUAUUCAUCUUCAACGAGGAAUUCCUAGUAAACGCAAGUCAUCAGCUUGCAUUGAUUACGUCCCUGCCCUUUGUACACACCGCCCGUCGCACCUACCGAUUGAAUGGUCCGGUGAAAUCUUCGGAUCUGAGAGAUGUCUGAUUAAUUUCGGACGCCUUUUGGAAAAGUUGUUUAAACCUUACCAUUUAGAGGAAGGUGAAGUCGUAACA
rnacentral:rRNA from 1 species